ACAGAAACCCACCCCCUCCAUAUUCUUCUCGUCUCUCCGCCUUACCGCUGCAACCAAGGCCACCGUCUACCUUCUUUCUUCUUCUUCUCUCUGUCGCACAGGCACACCGCUCACCGCCGCACUCCCGCACCGCCGGACAGCUGCACAACCGCACACUCGCGCCGCCUGACAGCCUCACUGCCUCACCACUGCACAGCGGCACCGCCGCCACGACCUACCUUAGCUUGAAGAUGUUCUUGUUUCUUUUGGUGGAUGCAAUGGUCGGUAUUGUAAUGAGGUCAAUGUACUCAAACUAAGCCACAAAUCAACCUUGCAAUCAAAGAUGGUUGAGAUUCCAGUUCUGCUGUUCAUAAUGCUACAAAUGCAACCAGAGAUAUGGAAUCAGAACAUUGAAACCAGCCAAGAAAGAAAAAUUAGUGAAAUUGUGAUGGACAAUGAUUCACAGCCAAUGGUGAAAAAGGUUGAAGAAACAAGUGAACAUCUUUUAUCAGCCCUUAAGGCAGAGAAGGAAGAACUAGAGUCAUCUCUCAACAAAGAAAAAUUGCAAAUGCUUCAGUUGAAGCAGGAGUUAGCAGAUGCGGAGACUCGCAAAUUCAUGAAUAUGGUGAGGGGUGAGUGGUGGCUAUUGGCGCCUUUUCCUUCCCUUUUCUCUCUCCUGCGGGUCUCACAAAAAAUCACCAUUUGUAGGAGGAGCUAAAAAAUUAUCUCUUAUCCCUCUCUCUCAUCCACAUAAGCAUUAUUUGUCUAAAAAAUUAUGAAAAACCAACUAAUGUGGUUAACCUUA